AUUAAGUUAAUUUUUCAGUUUCUAGAUACAAUAUUUUAACUCUUCGUCUUAUUUAAAAUUUUUCUUGAUUAAUAUUUUUAUUAUUACUGGAUGAUAAAACAUAAAUAAUAUUUUAUGCGUGACUAAUUUUUUUAAGUUUUUAUAUAAUUUUUUAAAUAAGAGGAAUGAUUAAACGAUUAGACACAGAAAU
rnacentral:pre_miRNA from 1 species